CUCUCUCUCUCGCCCGACGCUGCCCACCACUCGUUCCCCAGUACUCGUCUCUCUCCCCGUCGAUGUGCCCUCUCGCCGGCAUCUUGCUCCGCACCGUCGCCUAGCUCACCACUCCCCACGCAUCGCCGCCUAGCUCACCGCUCCCAACGCGCCACCCUCUCAAACUCCGGCAAUGCACUGCUGGGCGAGCAUUAGAUGGAGAAAGCUGCCAUUUUUAUGCGCCGGCAACGCGCUGCUGGGCGAGGAGGAGGCGCGUGCUGGCGCUAGAUCUGAGUGCGUUGGCGCUCGAUCUGCUUUGUGGAGAGGCAUGAAGGAGGCGCUGAAGCGGAGCCGGAGCGGCGCCGGCGCGGGCGUGAAGACGGCGACAGUAGGAGCUGGAGCCCGAGCAGGUGGAGGUGGAGCCGCAUCUGGACCUUGUACUGCAUCAAGAUGGAUGGAGUAGAGAGCCUAGAGUAGGAAAGAGCCUUGGACAGGAGCCAUGGACAGCGCAUGACAGAGCCAUGGACAGUGCAGCAUCACAAACUUCAUUCCUGUAGAGCCUGAUGCAGCGCAGCAUCAGAACCUUGAUGGAAGGAGGCCAGGCCAUGAAGAGAAAAGCUCCUGCCCAUAUCGAUUCAAGAGGAGAGGAGGGCCAUGGAGGGAGAAGCCUGCUGCUGCAAUACCUACCUUGUCGUCCUCAUGGUGGGGUGUAGUUGAGGUCUGGGAGAUCCAUGUUCUCCAGGCAACUUCAAAGAACUUUCAAGAUUGUUUUAAAGAAGGGCUAUUGAAAAAAGAUGUGUGAGAGUAUUAGUGACUCUCAUGUGGGCUUGCCGCACUUUUCAGGUAGCAGAUGCAGAGGGAGUAAUGGGCGAGGAGAUGAACCUAGGCGAGCAAAAUUGAAAACUCUGGCUAAAGCAGCUCCUGCCCAGCGGCAAGGACUUCAGCGGCAGCAGCACCUGUGCGUGGGGAGGAACAGCCCCUGGGCGCGCGCAAGCAGCAGCUCGCCUCCACCAGCGGGCAGCAGCAGAGCACCAGCUCGCCUCCACCAGCGGCCGGCAGCAGAGCAGCAGCUCGCCUCCACCAGCGGGCAGCAGCAGAGCACCAGCUCGCCUCCACCAGCGGCCGGCAGCAGAGCAGCAGCUCGUCUCCACCACACCACCUGGGCGCGCGCGGGCCAGGAGGAGCCCUUGGCGUGGGAGAGGAGCGCGGGGGUGGAGAUGGAGGUGGAGGUGGAAGACGCUGAGGAAGAAGACGGACUGAUUCAAAGUUUGAACUAGGGGCAUAAAGGUUCAUUUGCCCAUUUUCACCUGGGAAGACGCGUGUAGAAGUUGAUGAGCAGUUGGUUGGUCCUGCUCCGGAACCACGGGGGGCAAGAGGAAGUAUAGCCCCGUCACCAUGGUCACCAACCGGAACGGAGUCAAGUACAGUAUGACGGCCAUCACCAAGGAGAGGACAAUGAAGGCGGGAGUCACCCUGGGGUCUUGCCAGCUAAACAGCGACUGCCAGGUCGCCGACCACUGUCUGCAUCGUGCCGGCGAUCCCCCUCAGUCGAUCAUACCUCACCUGCACAACAUCCUCCGGUUUGGACGUUGGGAAUGUGUCGAACUCCUCAUCAAGCUCGCCGGGGUACGCCAGAUCUGUGUACCACCACAGCACCGCAUUUAUGUGUGGCGGCUGCAACGUGCCGAACUCCUCGCUCAGCUCAUCCGCCCUGUCUAUCUGCGCUGUCGGUAGUUCCAUGCCCCGAUCAUGGUCAUGGAGAGGAACACGGUGGGCAGGAUCAGCUCCGGGCAGCACACCAGCUUCACGAAUACCACGUGCACCAGAAUCGUCUUCAGUGGCUUCUUCCACCUGCAUAUGUCGUCGAACCACUUCCCAACUGCCAGCACAUCGGAGAAGAGCGUGGUGAUCCUCAUUGCAUCGCCUGGUGCCGGAGGUAGUCCUGCAGCCUCACGGAGAUGGGGUUGGUGUGGUGCAUCUUGGGGAGCAUCGGUUUGCCGUACAUGGCCAGCAUUUUGGCCCACGACUUGCAGGUGAACCGGACAGCAAGGUGGAGCUCCCCGGUCUUAUUUGUUAGGAAUUAAUUAGAUAUAAUUAAUUAGAUAUAAUUAAUUGGGUGUUAGCCACCUUAUGCAACUAGUGCAUGUCAGUCGGUGGAACCAGUCUCACGUAAGAGUACGUGUAAGGUCGGUCUGGGUCGCUUCAUCCCACAAU